rnacentral:lncRNA from 1 species
GAAACUCAGCCUCUCUCUCUCCUUUGCACUUGUUACAAGGACUGCUCUGUCCCUGUUAUGUUGAUUGUUCUUCAUCUCAAAGACAGCAUAAGCCUGGGUUCUUCUGAUGGGCCUGAGCCGUGCGUGCUCUGCAGCGCUGAAAGUACAUUCAGGUGCUUCUGUGAGGGUCUCUGGUGCCCCGAGCAGCGCUAAGCCACUAAGCCUGUGUCCCACCAAAGGCUGGCAGGUAAAUUAAGCAGAUCCCUGGAAACAGGCCCCUUGAAGACUUGUUUGAGCUUAUGACUUGGAGCUGGCCUUAGGAGUAUAUUUGAGACUUGGAAGCACCCAACCUUACCUGGCCAUUUCAUAACCUUUCUGCAUUACCAGGACCCUCCACUACUCCCCAGCAGUUGACAAAUCUCAAUGUAUAAUUCUUGAGAAAACACUCAUUGUUGGUUGCAGCCUCGAGUAAACCACCCAAAAAGUCCCUAAUCCCACC